rnacentral:snoRNA from 1 species
CACUGGCAAUGAUGGACAAAACAACUCUGGCUAAGCGCCUCAGAAACGCAAUGCUUAAAACUAUUUGUAUAAUUAACCAUCUUUCGGGUCUGAGCCAACG